rnacentral:lncRNA from 10 species
GAAAAGCAUAAAAGCAUCAGCAAAGCCUGGACUCUGCUUUUCCUGCUCUAACAUGCCAUCAAAUAGAGACAGAGCACUCGACUGAUGUAGGCAUUCUGUUGUUCGUAUUUGCCGAGUUCAGCUAAGAAUGUCUGAGAUCAACAGGUGGCCUUGCUAAUGGAACAGAUUCACUCAUUGUUUGUGUGUUUAAUGAAUCAUUGAGUUACUGAUCAACAGUGAGCAAUGGAAGCUGUUCAAACAGAAAGGAAGCCCAGCCGUGAGGUGGUGCUGCCAACACACUCCUUUGAAGCUCGGCUGGCCCCUGUGGGGAGUGCAGGAGGCUGGGGGUCUACUCCCUACGGUUCCCAGAGAAAUGGUAGCAAGAAGACGGUGUUAUUUCUAAUUGGAUGAUGAAAGUCAGCCUAGGGGACAGAGACCAAAGGGCCAUACGUAAGAAGAGGAGGAAGUGAAAACAUCUGAAUCAAAGGUUGAGGUAAAACUGAGAGACAGUGUUUGCAGUGAACCAUGCAGUAACCUUCAUCUUGCCCCCUGGUCUUCAGGAAACAAGCAAGUGGGGAAGGACCGAAAGAGGGAGACCAGCACCUUACUGUGAGGACAGCUGUGUUGCUCUGGUUCUGCAGAUUCUGGGCUUCUAGAUCUGAAUAAAGGGUACUAAAUUUCCAAAUGAUCAGACGUGAAGUUUCAUGGCCCAUAAUGGCUACACAUUUGAAGACUCAAGCAAAUAAAUUAGAAAUAAAGCCUACCAGCAAACCAAAAGAUAAUUACAUGUAAAAGCAAGUCUCCUUGAUUUCUGAUACUUGCACUUAUGAGAAUGAGAAAACAACGAUAGCACAGAGAGAUGGUGGACAUGGAGGACAGGUCCUGUAGGCUCACUUCAUGGGCUUUUUCAUACCCUGACCACUUUCCACGCUGGAUUCAUUUUACUGUAGUGAAACAAUUGGCUGUAGAUAAUGUUAAAAGAUAGGACUUUGGUAACAGGAGAAUUCAUGGAUUCUUGAAAUUCCUGAAUGGAACUGGCUCUCCAGAAGCUACUUGCAGCUCAAAAGAGAAAGAGAGAGAGAAAGCAAGCCAGAGAAACAUUUGAGGUCAUAUAACACUUUGUCUCCAAUGUUCUCAAGGCCUCCCUCUGUGCACAGACCUCACUUUGAAAUUACCACCUGUCACAGGCCUAGCAAAUCCCCUCACCAGAGACCAUGUCUAAUUCUUUGUUUUAAAGGGCACUCGAUGGUUUUCUCCAGAGAAGUCAUCAUCAUCAGUGGCAGCAACAUCCUACUUUAUUUACACAGCUUAGCAUAGGACCAUCCCCACAAUAUAACAAGAAAGAUUUGACCCUGUGGGCUUUUUCCUGUUCUAAAUUUUCUCCUUUUGCUUGGACAAAAGGUCCAUCAUUUCUGAGAAAAAAAAAGGGAGGAUGGGGCUGGGUAAGGAGACUGCCACAGUAACAGCGUAAUGCUAUUAGUCUGAAUUCUCCCAUGACGGAGCCCUCGCUGGGAAAGACAAUUACAGGCAAAAGGGUGAUAACCUCACGAGGCAAUAACCUCCUGAGAGAUCCUGUGCCACAUGUACAGGUUAUUAAUUUCAGGGAAGGAGCCAAACUUCAGGGGCCCUCUCAGAACCGACUCUUUCAAGGUUUGCCCAUCUCUAAUGAGCUGGGUCUUUUUUGCGAUUGUCUAACCACACGAUUUCCUUAAUUCUUAGCUGGUUGCAUAAUGGCAAAGAUAAAUGUGGCUUUUUCCAGCUGCUUCUAAAAUAGGUUCAAGGUUGAAUUAAUAUGAAUGGAAAUACUUUCUGUUCAUGUAAAGGGUUGGAAGAAACCGUAUGUGUGGGAUUUGCUGAUACCUGCUAAAAUGUACACUGUGUGUCCUACAUGGAGGACACAAGACGGGCAGAGGUGGAAUAAUGACUUAUAGGAGCCCCAAAGUCCUAAGACGGUGAAAUUCCACCAAAUUUAUUCCAUUUCAGCAGGAGCUAGAAUAUUCCAAAAUUCAAAAAAAUGGACUUAGUUAUAAAGGAAUCUUUUCAGAAGUCUUGACUCUCAUCACAUACUCAAUGUUAAUUACCAUUUGUGUGUAGAACGGUGUGAAUUAAAACUAAAGAAACAAACAAAAAACUUGCCUUGUUAUUCUGCCAAAGGACCCCAUAAUCUAAUGAGGGAGAAGUGGCACCUGCAGACCAAAGAACACACAAGAUUUCGAAGGUGGUUAUUCCAAGUGAAAACACACAACUGAAAAAGUCCAUGAGGACUGAGUGGAAAUUGACAAGAACAAGGGGAGUUCAUCAGGAACAACUUUUCCAGGAAAACUUGAGGUUCAGAUUUGAGAGGAUAAUAUGGCUGGAUGAAUAGGAGAAAAUAAGCUACUCCAGAGGAAAUGAAGGAAGUUAAGACAUGGAAUCACAAUCCAUUUCACCUCUUUGUUCUUUUCUUUUAACCUUAACUGCAACCUUCCCCAUAGUAAGCAGAGGAAGAGUAGAUAUUGUUUCUGUGGUUAAGUUACAGAAAGUGUGUUGCUUGCUAGGUACUGCAAAGUAUUUUUCUGUUAGUGACAAGCAAAUCAUAUCAAAUUGUUCAAACUCAAUUUCAACUCUUAUAAGAGGAUAGACAUGGGUUUUGAGGAAAUGGUUAUCAUUUGCCUUGUUAUUACCUCAUCUUUGAGCCCCAACAUGUGCCUUUACUACUUAUCCCAGUGAUUCUUUCAAAAAAUUAUUUAAUAAAUCAAAAUAUUCCAUAAGUCAAAAUAUCUUCAGGUUGCGGAUUUACCUUUGACUUUCAUCUUAACCAAUUGUUUAAAAUUCCCCCAUUCUCCUCUCAUCUAUUGUGUAUAAAUUCAGAUUAAAAUGUAGUUAAAUUCAUUAAUGCUCAUUAUUUAUGUGUCUAAGACUGAUACUAAUAAUGACAACCAUGUAUUCGACACUUUCCAAACUGCAGGCCGUAGGCUCAGUCCUUUGUUUUGUUAGUUUAUUUAAUCCUUAUAACAAGACUAACCAGUGCUUCCAAAAUCCCAAUGGAUAUUAAUCUUUGGGAAUUGAAAACAAAAAAAAUUAGAAUCCCCAGAAAAUCUUAGAAAUUUCUGAAAUCAUAAGUUAUUCUGUAUUUUACUAGUAUUUACCAAGAGAGAAGUAAUAUUUAAUAUUUUAGUUGUUUAGCUUUUUUUGGUUUAGUGGGGUUUUUUUUGUGGGUUGGUGGGAUUGUUUUGUUUUGUUGGCUUGUUUUUAUUUUUUAAUAUUUUAUAGUAUUUACAAAGAUGUGGUUUAUAGUUAAUAUUCAAAAAUUAGAAAAUGCCUGCAAAAAUUAUGAGAUAAUGCUAACAAACCUAACAUUUGGACUCCCUAGCAAGAUUAACAACACUACACGAACUGAUAUGUCAAAAUUGCUAAUUUAAGGACUUAUUUUCUUCCAAAUGUGUUAUUUCUUGAAACACCGUUCAUAGGAUUUGUAUAAAGUAUACGAUGCAUAUGAACUUAUAGACAUUUAUUUUAUUUAUAAGAAUGACUCACCCUUAGUCACAGAGAAGAUCACAAACAAGCUCUUAUAACACGGUUAGUUGGUUUUCUAUUACUACAUAACAAAUUACCACAAAUUUAGCAGCUUUAAACAACACAAACAUAUUAUUUCAUGUUUCUGUAGGUCAAGAUCCACAGGGCCAAAAUCUAAAAGUGUCAGCUGAGACUGCAGUUCUCACUGGGAGCUUGGGGUCCUCUCCAAGUUCACUGGAUGCUGGAAGAAUUCAUUUCCUCGAGGCUGCAGGACUUAGAUCCACAUUUUCCUGCUAGCUGCUGGCUGGGAACCACUCUCAGCAACCAAAGGCUGUCCACAGUUUCUUGUCAUGUGGUCCCAUCAGGCAGUUCACACUCGAUAUUUUUCUUUCUUCCAGGCCAGCUGGAGUAUGGCUCUCCGCCUUCCUUUCCAGCACCAGUCAGAAAAAACUCAGGUUUUAAAGGGCUCAGGUGAUAGGUCAGGCCCACCUACCUAAUCUCCCUGUCUUUAGGUAAACUGAUUUGAUUCUUUAAUUGUAUCUCCAAAAUCCCUUUACAGCAGUACUUUUACUGAAUAAGGAAAAGAAGGUGUGUAUUGGCGCUGUGGCUCACGUCUGUAAUGCCAGCACUUUGGGAGGCCCAGGCAGGUGGAUCACUUUGAGCUCAGGAGUUCAAGACCAGCCUGAGCAACACUGUGAAACCCUGGCUCUACUAAAAGUACAAAAAUUAGCAGGGCAUGGUAGGGCGCCUGUAAUCCCAGCUACUCAGCAGGCUGAGGCUGGAGAAUGGCACGAUCCCAGGAGACAGAGGUUGCAGUGAGCUGAGAUCGUGCCACUGCACUCCAGCCUGGGCGACAGAGAGAGAAUCUGUCUCAAACGAACGAACAAACAAACAAACAAACAGAAGGUGUGUGUACACCAGAAGCAUGGAAAUUUGAGGCUGUCUUAAAAUUUUGCCUGCCACACAUAACAAUAGCCAUCAGCCACA